GUCCGUCGUGAAGAGGGAAACAACCCAGACCGCCAGCUAAGGUCCCAAAGUCAUGGUUAAGUGGGAAACGAUGUGGGAAGGCCCAGACAGCCAGGAUGUUGGCUUAGAAGCAGCCAUCAUUUAAAGAAAGCGUAAUAGCUCACUGGUCGAGUCGGCCUGCGCGGAAGAUGUAACGGGGCUAAACCAUGCACCGAAGCUGCGGCAGCGACACUCAGGUGUUGUUGGGUAGGGGAGCGUUCUGUAAGCCUGCGAAGGUGGCCUGUGAGGGUUGCUGGAGGUAUCAGAAGUGCGAAUGCUGACAUAAGUAACGAUAAAGCGGGUGAAAAGCCCGCUCGCCGGAAGACCAAGGGUUCCUGUCCAACGUUAAUCGGGGCAGGGUGAGUCGACCCCUAAGGCGAGGCCGAAAGGCGUAGUCGAUGGGAAACGGGUUAAUAUUCCCGUACUUGGUGUUACUGCGAAGGGGGGACGGAGAAGGCUAUGUUGGCCGGGCGACGGUUGUCCCGGUUUAAGCGUGUAGGUGUGUGUUCCAGGUAAAUCCGGUUCACUUUAACACUGAGGCGUGACGACGAGGCACUACGGUGCUGAAGCAACAAAUGCCCUGCUUCCAGGAAAAGCCUCUAAGCAUCAGGUAACAUCAAAUCGUACCCCAAACCGACACAGGUGGUCAGGUAGAGAAUACCAAGGCGCUUGAGAGAACUCGGGUGAAGGAACUAGGCAAAAUGGUGCCGUAACUUCGGGAGAAGGCACGCUGACACGUAGGUGAAGUGAUUUACUCAUGGAGCUGAAGUCAGUCGAAGAUACCAGCUGGCUGCAACUGUUUAUUAAAAACACAGCACUGUGCAAACACGAAAGUGGACGUAUACGGUGUGACGCCUGCCCGGUGCCGGAAGGUUAAUUGAUGGGGUCAGCGCAAGCGAAGCUCCUGAUCGAAGCCCCGGUAAACGGCGGCCGUAACUAUAACGGUCCUAAGGUAGCGAAAUUCCUUGUCGGGUAAGUUCCGACCUGCACGAAUGGCGUAAUGAUGGCCAGGCUGUCUCCACCCGAGACUCAGUGAAAUUGAACUCGCUGUGAAGAUGCAGUGUACCCGCGGCAAGACGGAAAGACCCCGUGAACCUUUACUAUAGCUUGACACUGAACAUUGAGCCUUGAUGUGUAGGAUAGGUGGGAGGCUUUGAAGUGUGGACGCCAGUCUGCAUGGAGCCGACCUUGAAAUACCACCCUUUAAUGUUU
rnacentral:rRNA from 1 species